AGGAAAAAGAAAAAAAUGUAAAAAUACUAGAAAUACACUUUUUUUAUAUUUUUCAAAAAAAAUCGUUCUAUUGAAAAUAAAGAAGAUUGUAAUGAGGUAUUGUUGAAAAAUUAUACAAUUUUUUCAAUACUCCCAAACGAAAUCAUGUGUUAUUAUCUACUAUCGAAAACAGUAAUGUUGAUCAAAAAAUAAAAACAUUAAAAAGGCUAUUUGCAACUCGAUGGGUGCAAAGAUACGAUGUGAUUCAUGAUUUCAUUGAGCUUUUUAAGUUUGUAGUAGAAGCUUUAGAAUGAAUAUCAGAUUGGAAGGAUUCGUCUGCUACGGAUGCAUCAAUAAUUCUAAAAUCAAUGGACUCUGAAUUCCUAAUUUCAGUUAAUAUUGUUCAGCUAAUGUUUUCAUUUGGCUUACCGUUAUGUAAAUAAUUACAAAAAACCAAAAUUGACUUAAAAGAAGCCAUUGAUCUCGCACAAGAUACUAUCAAUGAGUUAUGUACAUUAUUGUUAGUUACAUACUGUUAUGUUUAUUACAAAAAAAGAGCUAUGUACAUUAUAUUAUAUUAUAUUACAAACAAAAUAAAUGUACUUGAAAAUUAAGUAGUUUGUAUUUUUGUGUGUACAAAAA